GGAGAGGUCGCAUAGUCUGGCCGAGUGCGGCGGUCUCGAAAACCGUUUCCCGCCUUACGGUGGGACGAGGGUUCGAAUCCCUCCCUCUCCGCCA
rnacentral:tRNA from 1 species